AAAAGACAAAAAGCCCUUUUGAACAGCACAUAAAGAACAAUAAGGAUACAAACAAAUAUGAAGGAUGGCCUGAAGUUGUAGAAAUGGAAGGAUGCAUCCCCCAGAAGCAAGACUAAUGGAAAUGUGGAGAGAAUUGAAGAAAGCGCACUUUCACUCUUAAUGGGAGAGCUAUAAAAGGCAGAGCUAUGUGUAAAUAUUUUAAGAGCAUGCAGCCAUCUUGGUGUGUGCAUGAGUAUUGUCUCUUUUGAUAUCAGGAUUAUUUAUUGCUAACGUAAAUAGAUAGCAUUGUAAAUAAUCAUCACAAUGAUCAAAUCACUGAACCAUGUCUCCGCACAUUUCCCUAAAAGUACAAUGUUUAGACUGCUAUGGUAAUACAUAUUUUAAAUUCUAAAAGCAUACACAAUGUGUAACUGAAUGGUUUGUGAAAAAUAUAUUGAUAUAUAUACUAGUUGCUGUGAAAAUAUCAUGGAAUAAUAGGGAUUUUAGGGUGGAUACUUUAUUUUCUUUUAUAUUUCUAUAUGUUGCCUUGUGAUGACAUUAUCUUUUAAAUUAAAAAGAGAUUUGGCUAGUUGUGUGUGUAAUGUUACUUUACAGUCCGACUCUCCUGAUGUACCUCUUUUCAUGAUCUUUUUCUUUCCUUCCCAAGAAACUGAGGAAUGUUUAAUAUGAAAACAUACAUCGGAUAUGUGAAAAGCACAACAAAAUUCUUAAUGUACACAGUAAAAAAGUAAAUAUAUAAAUGUAGAUGGCAUUUAGGACCACAGCUUGCUGGAUUUGUGUUAGCUAUGGGAAUAACUUGAUUUUGUAUAAGCUAUUUAGAGUGAGGCUGGAGGUGGCAGCUUCACAGAACUGGAGAACCAGGCCAAGUCCCCUCCCCAACCUAAUUAGGUCAUUCAGGACAGCUAAGUCAGUAUAUUUAGAGCAAUACUAGCAUACGUUUUUCUUAGUUGUUAUCAGCAUUGACCAAGUGGUUUGGAAGGAGGCAUGCUUUAAUAUCACAAUAAUUUUGAUUUGUAAACCAAGAAAUUAAUCCUGUGUUUAUCUAACUUCAUAAUAGCAAUUAUUGCCCGAAGCUAUAGUGGCAUAUUUACAAAAGUUCUUAUUACUGGGUGGACUGAUAAUAUUUAAAAAAUAAUUGUGUUUGACCCCAAAUGACUUUAUACCCAAUUCUACAUAAAAAUAUACAAGAUCUAUCUUUUUUUGUUACCUUCAGAUGUUCACUAAAUAACUCAGUUUUUAAGCAGAAGUUUUCAGGGCAUUAAAUAUAUGUUGUGUAUGAAGUAUCUCAAACUGGAACAUAAAUUUAGUGAUCAAACUGCCAUUCACAGUGUAAGGCAGCACUUAAAUUUCGAACCUAAGGUUUAGAUGCAUUGUAUAAAAAAACCUAAAAGCAGUAUCUGUUAUUUAGCUGUAAACCAAGUUGGAAGCUAUUCGGAUAAUUUCUUAAAUAUUGAUGAACUUUGGAGUACUGUUUCUUCCUUCAAACUGAAUGUAAUUAAUUCAUGAAUAAAUGCACCUUAUAUGUUUAAACAAUCUUUGUAUACUUUUGGGAUUUUUGGUGCUUAUAUGCUAAAUCACAUUCAGCAUGUGUAUUUUGACAUUUAAAAUACUUCCCUCAAUUCUGUAAAUUAAAAGAAUAGUUAUUUUACAGUUCCAGGGAUUGUGAAAUAAACGUUGCAGUUUUUUAAAAUAAUGAAAAUAAAUACUCUUGGUUUUGCUUUGUGAAAAAAAA
rnacentral:lncRNA from 10 species